rnacentral:rRNA from 1 species
AUACGUAGGGAGCAAGCGUUGUCCGGAAUUACUGGGCGUAAAGGGCGUGUAGGCGGCCGAUCAAGUCAGGUGUGAAAUUUCAGGGCUCAACCCUGAGCGUGCACUUGAAACUGGUUGGCUUGAGUGCAGAAGAGGAAAGUGGAAUUCCCAGUGUAGCGGUGAAAUGCGUAGAUAUUGGGAGGAACACCAGUGGCGAAGGCGACUUUCUGGUCGGUAACUGACGCUGAGGCGCGAAAGCUAGGGGAGCGAACAGGAUUAGAUACCCUGGUAGUCCUAGCCGUAAACGAUGGGCACUAGGUGUAGGGGGUUUAGACGCCCUCUGUGCCGCAGUUAACACAUUAAGUACCCCGCCUGGGGAGUACGGCCGCAAGGCUGAAACUCAAAUGAAUUGACGGGG